GAUAACAAUUUUUUUACUUUGCCCAACAGUCACCUUUUUGGCUUCAGCAAUAAUCUACUUUGUGAUUUUGGCUUCAUGCUACCGCCGUUUAUAUUUGUAAAAGUUUAGUGGAACUCUAUUUCCAUUUACACUAAAUGCAUUUUACGGUUCUUCCCAUGGAAAUUGGGUUAUUCCAUUAUUUUUGAAUCCUAUGGAUUUGGAUAUGAUGUAUUGUGAUUUGUUGUUGUUUAUGCAAUAGUGUAGAGUGGCCUUAUGUUGAAAAAAUAUCAAAUGUGACAAAAAAAAUUGCAUGAGUGUUAUAAUGUUUUGUGAAAAAUUUCAACGACCUUUAAGUUGACUUAUCUGUACCUCACUUGUAGCUACUUUGUAUUAAGCGCAGUGAUAUAAUUUUACGAGAAAAUGCCUCUUCCUGGUUUUCCUUACGCAACUAUUGUGGGUUUCGGAGUUUUAGUGAUAGCAGCGGGCUUACUUAUGUUAUUUGCUAAUCAGCAGCAAGAGCCGGUUGGGUAUGGAAAUACAAGGAGACGUCGUUCUCCAUCACCACCACCUAACAGAGGGGGGUCCUGGGUCCAGCAUCGCCCCCGUGAGACAAGCAACAACCGCAUCGCGGGCGGGGGUGGCAGCAAUGGGACGGAACAGAAGCGCAGAACCAGCGACCCCACGCAGAGGAAGGUGAACGGUGGUUACGAGUGCAUCAUUUGUCUAGACUGUGAAAACCUCUGCCGGUUCGUCAAGCUGUACUGCGGCCAUCAAUUCCACUCAAACUGCUUGACAAAGUGGUUUGAAGCCUCACAGAAAGGCAAGGUAUGUCCAACGUGCAGUGCAGUAGUAACGAGUCGCUAGCGAACCGUGAGUCAUCGCGCAUCAUCGCAGCUAAUGAGGGACAAUUCCAGCUGCCACCCAUGAACAUUAAAUGCUUUUAAAUAGAAAUAAAGCACAUGUGCUCAGGCAAUUUUCCCCAAAAAUGUGAUAAGUUUGUAUCAAAUAAUUUUUACCGAUGGCUUGUGUCAUUUAUUGUAUUUUGAUUUUAUGUAAUUUAUUGUGCAUUGAUUUACCAAUACAACUUUAAACUGAACACAAUUUCCAUUUUCUGUUAAAUUGGUAUGUGUGUAUGUGACAAGUGUUGCUAUUUGCUAAACAGAUUGAUUAUAAUGGAAAUGAGCACAACUUAUGUAAAAAAAAAAAAAAAAACCAAUAUCAGGGUAAUUACACAUAGUGUAAAACAAAAUUUUUCCUGACUCAUAUUUCUUCCUACCUUACUGAAGAAAGAAUAAUUUUAUGUAAUUCAGUUCAGUUAAAAAAAUUAAUCUAAAUAGGUACUCUGUAAGUACUCUUGUGUGCCUUGCUUGUUAUAUAUCUAAAAUUAAUAAUGGACCAUUGUACGAGUACCCUGAAAGUAUAAAAAGGCACAGGGAUACACAAUCUGGUUUCGAACCGGCCAGUUUUCUCAGGUGGCAAAGGGCAAUAGCCAGCUGCAGUUAUUUUGGCGUAUGGGUUGUCAGUAAUAAACCUAGUGGCCAAAAGACAUGAAAGCAGAUAUGCCAGUAUUGGCUUUAUGAAACAUCACUGAUAUCAAUGAAAUUGCCAGCGAAAGAAAUUAAUUAUAUGUUGAGGCCUGAUGGCUGUCUGGAUUGGGCAAUAAAGUGAUGGAUUGGUUGCAAGCAUCUUAAUUCUAUUCUCUCAUUUUUCACUUUCAUAUUAAUUGUAGUUUAUGCAGACUAUUUAAACAUUUAGUAUUCAAUGUUUCAUACAACCAACGAGAUUUCGUGAUUGCAUUUCAACACAUAUUUUGACAAAUAUCAAAAAAUUUGUAUUUGUCCUACUGUCCAUUUUUUUUUUUUAAAUAUAAAUUAUUUGCAUCAUGGUCUAGGAUAUCAAUUGUUUUCCCGUUUAGAAAAAGUAACCUAACAUUAAAAAAUGUAUCAUGUUAUUGAACAAAGUUGUGGAAAAUAGAAACUUUAUUCUCAAUAAUAGCUACAUACGUAUUCCAUAAACCUAAAUCAUAAAAUAAUAGAAGCACCAUUUUUACAUUUCUAUUUCUACUUAGAAAAGUUUUGUAAUAAUUGUCAGUAGGGUAAAAUUAUAAGGAAAAAAUCAUCUUUAUAAUUUUUUGCCUUGAGCCAGCAUUAAUCAACAUGAAUUUUUUUCCCCAUUAUCCUGAAUACAUCAUAAAAAUUUGGUUCUUCUACACAGUACAAUUAUUAGUUGUUUUUUUUUUAACUGAACUGUUUUAGAAAAUUUCUUAAACAAUCAAAACAAUUCACUGCUUUUGCUAAUUUCUGUUCAAAAUUCUUUGCAUUUCCCUGUUUUUAAAGUGUGUGACUACCUUGAAAUUUUAAGUUUGUAAUUUGCAUAACAGUUUGGCACUAAAAGACUGAUUGCCUGUGCUAGUCAUAUAGCCCAUUGUGUUCAAGUUGAUAUUCAUAAAUUCACUUCUUUCAAUCAUAUUUGUCCUGCACGGGUUAUCAUUGUGCAAGUGUUUCAGCUAGGCGUGGCUGUAGUAAUGCAUUACUCUUGCAGAUAUAGUAGUGGUUAUUUACUUAAUUAUUAUCCUAUGUGGCAAGAAUAGGGUUUCCAGUGGUCUGGGCUUCGUUCAUGGUUUUUAGCGCCUUGUGUGGCAUCAUGUAGUAGGGUGCAUGACAUUUUGAAAAUUUAUUAAAGUUCACAACUAACCAGAGUGGUUUAAAUUUUUCUGUUGCUUAGUAAUUUACUAGUGUGCAGUACUUUGGAAUGAAUGCACUGCCAAAUGUUGAUGGAACACUGGCACUAAUGUUGUGACAAGGUUGGAAUGAGAUUGUUGCACAUAUACCUAAAUAUUGUGCCUUUUAUGUACGUAUUCACUAUUCAAGGACAGAAGUUUGCAAUCAAAAUAGUAUUUACUUUAAAAAGCUGUUAGAGAAAAAAAUAAACUACUCUUCUUCUGUUUGUACUCAAGCUUUUGACAUUUAUUUCCAUGCUUUUUUGCUAGUUUUCAUUGCCAGACCAAUGGUAUACAUAGUUGGUUAGCAUUCUUGACUGCAGAUUGGUAGUUUUGGGUGUGAGUCCCAUCUCUGGCAUUGAUUGGUUAAUAAGAUGCCCUCUCCCAAGUCAUCCAGCAUGAGGCGAUCAUGUUUGUGUAUUCUAACGUAGAUUAAAGUACAGUUUCUACUGACUUAUUACCACUUAAAAUCCUAGGUGGACCUACAGAUGCAGACUUACAAGAAAGGUACCUUUUCGGCUUAAGUGGUACAACUUUAGCCAAACUAUAAGACACGUGUACAAUUUUCAAAAUUUGGCAUAACGAGCUCAUGACAAGAGGUCAGACAAUUUCUUCUAGUAGACAUCUUUAAUCAGUUAACAGAGUCCUCUCUUGUUAUGCCUUUUUUCUCUAUUUCCUUUGCUAUAUGGAUGACCCUUGGUGCUUUCAUGACCCUCUAAAACCUUACUUAUCUUUCCAACAUGAUUCCAAUUUUUAUUCUCAAAUUUUAAAAUAGGGGUUUGAGGUUGGUUAGGUCGCUCAAUGCCAUGACGACUACUCUAUUGCAACUAGAAAUGAUGUACAAAUUUUUAAAUUAAAAUGAUUCUAUAAAUUUAGAGCUGGUUGUUUAGUAAUAUUCUAUAUGUUGAUUGUGUAUAUAAAUUAUUUCAUUGUAUAAUGUACGAAUUAGUUGUCUUUUUUUUUUUAAGUAAAAUGUUACCUAAAAUGGUAGUAAAAUGUAGCAUCUUAUUUUAAACUUACCAAAUUUCACACAAAUCUACUGGCAAGAAAAUUUUACAGCUUAAUACAAAUUUAUUUUUAAAUAAUCCAACAUAAACAAAGAUAAAUUUAAUACUUCAUAAAAAAUUUUGUGAGUUCCUAAAGUACUGAAAUUUCUUACUGUCAUUGAAACAGUUAAUUUAUAGUAAUGGUCUAUUAUUUGCAUAGAUGUCUGUACAUUAGACCUUGACAAUGUUGUCAUUAAUGCUCUCUAGUAACUUUGAAUAUGUUUGUGUUGACAUGCUUGUAAAUAUGGUUUAAGUACAUUUUAUGUUUAAAAAUAAUCAUGCAAAAAUAACUACAUUUGGUUUGACAUUGUGUGAAUUUUUAACAGUGGGACAGACAUAUUAAACUGCUGCAUGUCUUGAAUCACUUAUUACAACUAGUUCCUGCUCGUCAAAUCUUUGCAAUAAUUGAGCACUUAAAAUAGAUUAUUGAAGUGUGUAAAUAUAUGUAAAUAAAUUAGUGUGGAUGUUAAAAGUUUAUGUAAUAUGUAUAUGCUUAAUGUUUGAAAGUAGUUGUUACAACGGUUUAGUAAUCACAUGCUGAUGCUUCCAUAUUUUCAGGUUAUAGUUACAAUAACUAUGGCAUUGGCUACUUACAAAGCUAUAGUUAAGUAAUGUAUGCACCACGUAACAAACAAGUGAGGAAAACAGAGUCAUAAUUCUCUUUCAGUGCUGCUUUGUAAACAGGUCAAGAUACUGAUGGUUGAAUGUAAUGUGUGUUGUUCAUAAACCUCGCACCAAACUUUUGAAAACAAAAUGUUGAGACAAAGUUAAAUUGCUAUUAAAUGUUUAUUCUGAACAUAAUUAGAGAAUGCUAUAAUUAGUUUUUGUUUUCUGUAAUACAAAUAGCAUUCAUUUGUAGCAAUACUGUCGUCUGGUAAUUAUUUUUUCAGCACAAUUUAUUCUUGCUAUGCGGGCACUGUUCAGCUUAUCAAUAUUUCCAUCAACAUACCAACUACCCCUCUCCUAUUUCGCCCACCAUGCCCAACUAUUGCCCUCAUGUGAACUGAAUUUUCGUAACGCUCAAAAAUUGUAGCCCCCUCAGCAAAGAAGUUUCACUUCAAAAUUAUCAUGACUGUAAAAUUGCUACGACCACAGCUUUUUUGUUAAUUGCAGAAAAAGAAAAUUUUAUUUUAACAUCUCAGCCACAGAUGAUGAAAAUUAAUGAUAAGUUUCCAAAAAUUAUAAACAAAACUAGAAUGUAGAAUUAUUGAAGAAACACAUGAAAAGAUGAAAACCUUUAAAUCAAAUCUAUAUUGCAACACCACCAUUACUCAAAAACAAUCAUUUUUUUCCCUAAAGUCGAGUGCAACUUUCCACUACAACGUGUACUUUCUUCCCAUAGCACGAUGCCUUAUUUUCUCAGCUCUUUAAUCAUUCAGAGGUUCUUCAGCAAUCAUAAAAUAUCACAACAGCAAACCUUUAGUAUUCAUUGAAAUGUCUUUCUCACAUAAACACACUCACUAACCAUAUUCAACAUUGUCAGUCAUCCAAAAAGCUGCAGCAUGUUAACUAACCUAGGAGCUCGAUUGACAUUUAGUCAUGCAGUUUUUUAAGUUUUUUCAACACAUAUUUUUUUGUAAAAUUGUACGCAGCUUAUUUGUGAAGUAGGUACAGUAUUACUUUUACAAGAUGUAAACCAACCUGAUGUGGUCAAUAACUAAGCACGAUGGUAUACAAUUUUAGUAAUGUGCAGUUGACACCAGCACCCAUUAACAAUUUGUUUGUGCUUCUAGUCGAUCAGUGUCAGCUGAGGUUAUCACUAGCUGACAGCAUCAAAAUAUAGGGGGGGUAUAGUUUUACUUCCAAUAAUUGUAAUAGCAAUAAUUUAUAAAACAUUUUUUUCUACUGUUUCCUGUUAUUGUUCCAAGAUCUCAAUGACCUUUUUUGCAUUUCGUAACACCAAUGAUUGGCAUAGUGUUUAAUGUUGCUGUCAGCCCCGCAUGAUGUAAAUAUUUAAAAGCUCAGAUUGUUAAAUGUCUGUAUAAUUUAUUAAUUUUUCUGCUGGUCUAUGUUACUGUACAGUGAAAAAAAAAGUAUAUAAUUGGGGUUUUGAUUGUUGGUUCCUUACUUUUGUAUAGAAUUUGUAGAUUUUCAAAUAAACGUAUAAAAUUGA